GGUGUCUUUCUUGCGGCCUGGGAAUGUCUAUUUUUCCAAGGUUCAUUCCAUGUUUGGUAUUAGUUAGUUGCUUUGGUUCCAAUUAGUCUUUUUUUCAAAUGGCUUUGUUUUCUCCUGCUGGUUAUUUCCUUUCGCUUGCGUAGGGUAUGGAUUAGAUUUUUUAUUCAUGACGAUACUGGCUAUGUAAGUGUUGUCACUCUGGGUGCUGAAGCUGAAAAGAUAAUUGGACUUAGUGCAUUUCAAUUGUACCAGACUGUUGAUGACGAGGUUGUGUUUUCCUUUCCACUGUUCGGAGCUUUGUUCACUGUAGUUGUGCCUUGCUAUCCGCUAUUUUCUUAUCCCUGUUUUUUUAUCUGUGCAGUUUUUUGGCCUGUAUAGACAAGUUCGCCGUCGCCUAGAACGGAAGAACCUGUUGUGUUAUAUAAAGCAUUCCUCAGAUGUGAUUAGGUCAACGGCCAUCGCCAAGUUCACAGUUGUUACUUGCUAUUUGUGUUAGGAUCAAGGCUGCUCUUCCGAUUGCCAUGUUGCUCUUGGCUAUUGGCCUUCUUGAUCUUUUGAGCCUUUGAGUCUGAUGUUAUGUAUGGACUGUAUUUUGUCUGUUAGGUUACUUUUUUACUUGAUCUGUAAUUCAGUUGCUUGUAAAUAAUGAGGAGCCUUUAUCCUCCCACAUUCAGAGUUUGGUUCCAAUAACCAAUUGUUUAAGGACCUUUGUCAGCAAUGCCUCUGUGUCAGCAAUGCCCAGUUGUGGCUUUUUUCACACGGGAUUUGCGCCUUGGAUGUUUAAGACAUUCCCAGUUCCGGGGAUGACACUGUAAUUGGGAAUGGUGAGGAUGAUGAUGGAGCAGGGCCAUGUGGUGGAAAGUUCAAGAAGUUAUUAAUUUUCUCUAGGAAUGAUUACCUAGGCUUGAGUUCCCACCCAACUGUUAUCAAGGCCGCAGUAAAGGCAGCUCAGUUGCAUGGGAUGGGACCUAGAGGUCAAGCAUUAAUUUGUAGUUACACAAAUAACCACAGGUUGCUGGAGUCGGCGUUGGCAGACUUAAAGAAGAAAGAGGAUUGCCUUCUUUGUCCCGCAGGCUUUGCAGCCAACAUGGCACUUAUCACAGCAGUUGGAAGUGUUGGUUUGCUGUUAGCUGAAGGGGGAAAACCUAAAAGGGAUGCAAGAGUUGCCAUUUUUUCUGAUGCACUCAACCAUGCAUCAAUUAUCAAUGGUAUCCGCCUUGCUGAGAAACAAGGGAGUUUAGUCAACAUUGAGCGUUUGUAUUGGUCUUUAUACUGGUGCCUUCGCUUAACCAUUACGUUUCUUGCAUCGAUGCUGCUGGCUUCUGUAAAUUCAAAAUGCUCUUCCGAAAUACAAAUGUCUCCAUGGUCUUCAACAAGGAGAAAUAUUUGUAUUCAUACCCCAGUCCCGUACAUCCCUUGCUGUUUUAAUUUUCGGAAUCAACGGCAUAGAAAUCAUGUAUCCAUGGCAUCAUACAUUUCACCUUUAAUAUAUUAGUAGCUUUGAUUACCAAAUUAGUAUAUCGCAUCCAUUACCAGAUUAGCUUGUUCCAUUUGUUCAACAGUUUUCGAUUGUUA